UGGGAUUUAGCUCAGUGGUUUAAGUACCUGCCUUGCAAGCAGGCGGUUGUGAGUUCAAUCCCAG
rnacentral:tRNA from 1 species